rnacentral:rRNA from 1 species
ACAGGGAUUGCCCUAGUAACGGCGAGUGAAGCGGCAACAGCUCAAAUUUGAAAUCUGGCGCAAGCCCGAGUUGUAAUUUGUAGAGGAUGCUUCUGGGCAGCGGCCGGUCUAAGUUCCUUGGAACAGGACGUCAUAGAGGGUGAGAAUCCCGUAUGUGACUGGCUCGCACCCGCUACGUAGCUCCUUCGACGAGUCGAGUUGUUUGGGAAUGCAGCUCUAAAUGGGUGGUAAAUGUCAUCUAAAGCUAAAUACCGGCCAGAGACCGAUAGCGCACAAGUAGAGUGAUCGAAAGAUGAAAAGCACUUUGGAAAGAGAGUUAAAAAGCACGUGAAAUUGUUGAAAGGGAAGGGCAUGCAACCAGACUUGUCGGCGGUGUUCCGCCGGUCUUCUGACCGGUUCAUUCGCCGCCGGCAGGCCAGCAUCGUCUGGGUGCGCCGGAUAAAGGUGUCGGGAAUGUGGCCCCUCGGGGUGUUAUAGCUCGUCACACAAUACGGCGCCGCUCGGGCGAGGUCCGCGCUUCGGCUAGGAUGCUGGCGUAAUGGUUGUCUGCCGCCCGUCUUGAAACACGGACCAAGGAGUCUAACAUCUAUGCGAGUGUUCGGGUGUCAAACCCCUACGCGGAAUGAAAGUGAACGGAGGUGGGAACUUUUUGUGCACCAUCGACCGAUCCUGAUGUCUUCGGAUGGAUUUGAGUAAGAGCAUAGCUGUUGGGACCCGAAAGAUGGUGAACUAUGCCUGAAUAGGGUGAAGCCAGAGGAAACUCUGGUGGAGGCUCGCAGCGGUUCUGACGUGCAAAUCGAUCGUCAAAUUUGGGUAUAGGGGCGAAAGACUAAUCGA